UAGAUGCGAGAGUAGAGCAUAUCAAUAAGCGGAGGAAAAGAGACUAACAAGGAUUCCCUUAGUAACGGCGAGUGAAGCGGGAAGAGCUCAAAUUUGAAAUCUUCAAGGUUCUACCUUGACGAAUUGUAGUUUAUAGAAGUGUUUUCUGUUAGUGGAGUGGCAAAAGUUCUUUGGAAUAGGACAUCAUAGAGGGUGAGAAUCCCGUAUUUGGUCAUUCCUCCUAGCGUUGUGAUACACUUUCAACGAGUCGGAUUGUUUGGGAAUGCAGUCCAAAAUGGGUGGUAAAUUUCAUCUAAAGCUAAAUAUUGGCGAGAGACCGAUAGCGAACAAGUACCGUGAGGGAAAGAUGAAAAGAACUUUGAAAAGAGAGUUAAACAGUACGUGAAAUUGUCAAAAGGGAAGCGUUUGACACCAGUGUUGUUUUUCCGAAAAUCAAUUACGAAUGUUUUAUUUUUGAGGAGUUAUGACUUCAUCGGCUUGCUCCUUUCUUUAUGAAACUUUCUUAAUGCACUUUUCGGUUAACAAGUCAACAUCAAUUUCUUUUGUUGUAAAAGGGUAUGAGGAAGGUGGCUUUCUUUUCGGAGAAAGUGUUUAUAGCCUUGUGCCUCUAGCAAUCGGAGAGAUUGAGGUCUGCAGCGUAGAUCCUUCGGGGUUAGAUACGUUUGUGCUAAGUUAUAGCUUUUCAUAGACAACUUGUUGACUAUGUUUAGUCUUGUAGAUUACUCGCAUAUGCUAUUUUACCUACGCUUAGGAUGUUGACGAGACUGUCGAUCUC
rnacentral:rRNA from 1 species